rnacentral:rRNA from 1 species
GAUGAACGCUGGCGGCGUGCCUAAUACAUGCAAGUCGAGCGAACGGACGAGAAGCUUGCUUCUCUGAUGUUAGCGGCGGACGGGUGAGUAACACGUGGAUAACCUACCUAUAAGACUGGGAUAACUUCGGGAAACCGGAGCUAAUACCGGAUAAUAUUUUGAACCGCAUGGUUCAAAAGUGAAAGACGGUCUUGCUGUCACUUAUAGAUGGAUCCGCGCUGCAUUAGCUAGUUGGUAAGGUAACGGCUUACCAAGGCAACGAUGCAUAGCCGACCUGAGAGGGUGAUCGGCCACACUGGAACUGAGACACGGUCCAGACUCCUACGGGAGGCAGCAGUAGGGAAUCUUCCGCAAUGGGCGAAAGCCUGACGGAGCAACGCCGCGUGAGUGAUAAAGGUCUUCGGAUCGUAAAACUCUGUUAUUAGGGAAGAACAUAUGCGUAAGUAACUGUGCACAUCUUGACGGUACCUAAUCAGAAAGCCACGGCUAACUACGUG